UACGUAGGGGGCUAGCGUUGUCCGGAAUCAUUGGGCGUAAAGCGCGCGAUAGGCGGCCCGGUAAGUCCGCUGUAAAAGUCAAAGGCUCAACCUUUGAAAUGUCAGUGGAUACUGCCGGGCUAGAGUCCGGAAGAGGCGAGUGGAAUUCCUGGUGUAGCGGUGGAAUGCGCAGAUAUCAGGAGGAACACCAAUAGCGAAGGCAGCUCGCUGGGACGUUACUGACACUGAGGCGCGAAAGCGUGGGGAGCAAACAGG
rnacentral:rRNA from 1 species